rnacentral:lncRNA from 1 species
GGGGCGUUAAGGUUGAUUGGAUUCCCCCGUUUCAUUAGGGAGGGACAACACUGUUUGAUUAGAUGAUGACGGCCCCUUGAGGAGCUGCUGCCGGCCAGGAAAAUCCCGCAGAGUGAAGCAGCAGAACCGACUCGAGGAGCUCGUCGGGCUUUCUCGGGGCAAACGCCGAGACGUCCGGGAAAGCUACACACUGAGUCGAAUAAUCGGAAAAAAUAGUCGGUGAUUCGUGGACUUCGUCAGCAGGCCUACCCAUCAGAGACGAUGCCCUCGGCGAUCUCGCAGACCAGGACGAAGAGCAGGACGAAGCUCCUCGGGAUGAGCUCCGCGCGCGCGGAGGGGAGUCAGAGGGAGGCGGGUCGUGAGGAGGAGCGGGUCAGAGGCGGCCAGAGUCCCCCCUCUCCGUCCAUCCCGUCCGCCUGCAAACUGAGGACGUCCUGCAGGGCGCCGCUCGCGCUCGGCUCGCGCGCGCGCAGCGCCGCUCCUCUGGAAUGCACGCGGGCAUGCUCACAUGGCGGGAGGAGGAGCGGCUCCCGCAGAUCCCGCUAUUCCUGUCUCCAGAGGCGACCUUGGCGGAGCAGAGGGGACGGACGUGCCGGAGGAGCCGGUGGCGCGAGCGCAGCAGCAGGUAUAAUCAGUCGGACCGGUUGCAGAGCUGAUGUGAGAGGAAGAAUGUGA